CGGACGGGUGAGUAACACGUGGAUAACCUACCUAUAAGACUGGGAUAACUUCGGGAAACCGGAGCUAAUACCGGAUGAUAUAUUGAACCGCAUGGUUCAAUAGUGAAAGACGGUUUUGCUGUCACUUAUAGAUGGAUCCGCGCCGCAUUAGCUAGUUGGUAAGGUAACGGCUUACCAAGGCAACGAUGCGUAGCCGACCUGAGAGGGUGAUCGGCCACACUGGAACUGAGACACGGUCCAGACUCCUACGGGAGGCAGCAGUC
rnacentral:rRNA from 1 species